rnacentral:rRNA from 1 species
UACGUAGGGUGCAAGCGUUGUCCGGAAUUAUUGGGCGUAAAGGGCUCGUAGGCGGUCUGUUGCGUCAGGAGUGAAAACUCGGGGCUUAACCCCGAGCCUGCUUCUGAUACGGGCAGACUAGAGGUAUGCAGGGGAGAACGGAAUUCCUGGUGUAGCGGUGAAAUGCGCAGAUAUCAGGAGGAACACCGGUGGCGAAGGCGGUUCUCUGGGCAUUACCUGACGCUGAGGAGCGAAAGCGUGGGGAGCGAACAGG